GAUGAACGCUAGCGGCAGGCUUAAUACAUGCAAGUCGAGGGGCAGCAUGGUGUAGCAAUACACUGAUGGCGACCGGCAAACGGGUGCGGAACACGUACAGAACCUUCCUUCGAGCGGGGAAUAGCCCAGAGAAAUUUGGAUUAAUACCCCAUAGUAUAUUGGAGUGGCAUCACUUUAGUAUUAAAGAUUUAUCACUUGAAGAUGGCUGUGCGGCUGAUUAGGUAGUUGGCGGGGUAACGGCCCACCAAGCCUGCGAUCAGUAACUGGUGUGAGAGCACGACCAGUCACACGGGCACUGAGACACGGGCCCGACUCCUACGGGAGCAGCAGUAAGGAAUAUUGGUCAAUGGACGAAAGUCUGAACCAGCCAUGCCGCGUGGAGGAUGAAGGUCCUCUGGAUUGUAAACUUCUUUUAUAUGGACGAAAAAAGGGCUUUCUAGCUCGUCUGACGGUACCAUAUGAAUAAGCACCGGCUAACUCCGUGCCAGCAG
rnacentral:rRNA from 1 species